rnacentral:rRNA from 1 species
UUGAACGCUGGCGGCAUGCCUUACACAUGCAAGUCGAACGGUAGAGGGGCAACCCUUGAGAGUGGCGAACGGGUGAGUAAUAUAUCGGAACGUGCCCAGUCGUGGGGGAUAACGCAGCGAAAGCUGCGCUAAUACCGCAUACGAUCUAUGGAUGAAAGCGGGGGAUCGCAAGACCUCGCGCGAUUGGAGCGGCCGAUAUCAGAUUAGGUAGUUGGUGGGGUAAAAGCCCACCAAGCUGACGAUCUGUAGCUG